GCCGCCAUAGCUCAGUGGUAGAGCACACCAUUGGUAAUGGUGGGGUCGGUAGUUCGAUUCUACUUGGCGGCACCA
rnacentral:tRNA from 1 species